GUCUUCGUGGUGUAAUGGUCAGCACACUCGACGGGUAUUCGAGAGGUCCACGGUUCGAGUCCCGGCGAAGGUA
rnacentral:tRNA from 1 species